GGGAGUCAGUUGUCUUCUCAACCAGCAACUGCAGGGACAGAGGGCACAGGAGUGGGUCAAGGCCAGUGGGCCCCUGCCCACCCUUCCCCUAGCACUACCCCCAGCAUGGCCGGCCAUCCAGGAGGCGGGAGCCCAUCACUGGUGGCUCCACUUUACAGCAACAGAGCCGAAGCUCUAGCAAGGAAGGAAUUCAAGCCUGAGUGAGUUGCCCUCAGAGCUCAGACUCCACUCGUGACCCUCUGAGGCCGAAGAUCAGGUCCUGUCACUUUUCUGGGCCUCUGGGUCGUCUCCUGUGAAAUGGGAAAAGUCAUCCCAGGAAGGGAAAGAGAAGGAAAGGGGACGAAAGAGAGACCACAGUGACCAACCAUCCAGAUGGAGAAACCGAGGCUCAGAAUGAGAGGGUUCCACAAUCCGGAGCCCCUGGACUCCCAGCUCUGCUAAGACCACCCCUUCCUUGCUAGACUCCACAUGGCUGGAUUUCUGAGCCUUUAAUGACUUAAAAAGCAAGAACACCCCUUCACCUGGAGACCAGUCAUGCUUCCUCACACUCACCACUACCCCCUCUACCUGCUUCCUCCUCCCUAGAGCCACUGCACCUGCAGGUCAGUGAAGGAUCAGGGUACAACUUGGGUUGCAACAGGGGCUCCUUAGGGUCUCCAGGGGCUAAAGAGUGGCAGGAGAAGUGGCUUGGAUAAGGGCUUGCCGAAGCCAGGCCUGUUGGGGGAAGUCCAUCCCAGGCAACGGAGCCCCAGAUCUCUCUGCUUUCCCUUUAUGGAAUGCCCUCCACUGCCCACCUGUGCCCACCUGCCACAGGGAAAGGGCAACCUUCCCAUGUGCACUUUGGCCUCCAGGCCAAAUGAGGCCUGACUUUGGCCCUCUGGCCUCUCAGCAGGAAAGGAGGGGAGUGCUGCCUCAAACACUCCAUUGCUAAGGUGGUACCCUCAGACAAGCCAGCACCAUCCUUGGCCCUUGGGGGGCCCUAAACCUCACGACCUGAUUGGACUCUCUUGACUGGGCACAGAGAUGCUGCCCAAGUCUACAAGUGGCAGCCCCUCAGCAGGGUUCAGCCACCUCCGUGUCUGGCCCUACCACACAAUGCCCACCAGCUGUGCUGGCCUCCACGGCCAGAUGUGCUAGUUCCCGGAAGCAAUGGGUGCCUCUCCCCAUCCGGCUGUGCCAGCUGCAGUCCAGGUCACUCCAGCCUAGCUAAGAUGCAGGACCAGGGAAGUGGUCAGGCACUCUGGUUGCCAGGGGGUUUCAUGCCUUCAAACCCUUGCCCCAAGUCAGGCUGGGGAUUGGCCAGGUGCCAGGGACAUCUCUCCAGGCUGCUCACCCAAGUCAGAGCCUUCUACACCUGAGGGGUACCUUGCCUCACUGAGGAGAAGCCUCAUCUCUCUACCCUGCCUCAGAGCCUCCCUGGAAGGCCCCAUGAUGAAACCUGGGGAGUCCAUCUGCGCCCCCCUCCCAUGUCAAUUCUUUCUACGCUGGGCAGCAGUGGAUGGGCCCAGACUGAGCAAGGGGGCACAGGCUCAUGACCUCUAGGCUCCUCCUUUUGGUGAGGGAGUGUCUAUGCCAGCCUCCUCUGUGCACAUACCUCCCCUCUUUCCCUUGGAGAUAGACCCAGAGAGGGCGGGGGAUCUGCCCAAGGUCACACAGGAGUUGGUACUGGAGCUAUGGGUGUCCUCCCACACCCCCUUGGCCCGGGUCAUCCCGAAUCCCCAGGCAGGGCGGCUCCAGCGCCCACGUGGCCCAAGGCCCAGGCGGGAAUCCGACUCCCUCUUUCCCCCAUUACCCAGCCCGAGGGCGGCGCCGUCCGGGCGCAGGGGAGCACCCUCCUUUGCCGGUGCCUAGCAAGACCUCAGCCUCGAGCGCCGGCGCCCCCACCCCAGGAAUUUAACCCCCUCCCCACCGAGAGCCGCGCCACAGCGCCGCAUUCCCAGCCCGCGGGACCCAGCAGAUGGAGCCGGGAGACCGGGGGAGGGGGAAGAUCCCUCCAGCCCCUCCACCAGAGCCCGCGGGCAGU